UAUAUACUCCCUCUGUUUGAAAAUACUUGUCCUAAAAAGAAUGAAUAUAAUGAAUUUAUCUAUUAUUAAAAUAAGUCUAGAUACAUUAAUUUCUAGAACAAGUAUUUCCGGACGGAGGGAGUAUAUC
rfam:Hordeum vulgare subsp. vulgare, WGS project CAJW01000000 data, contig: morex_contig_138228